rnacentral:rRNA from 1 species
CGCAAGGGGAGCGGCAGACGGGUGAGUAACGCGUGGGAACGUACCCUUUACUACGGAACAACUCCGGGAAACUGGAGCUAAUACCGUAUGUGCCCUUUGGGGGAAAGAUUUAUCGGUAAAGGAUCGGCCCGCGUUGGAUUAGCUAGUUGGUGGGGUAAAGGCCUACCAAGGCGACGAUCCAUAGCUGGUCUGAGAGGAUGAUCAGCCACAUUGGGACUGAGACACGGCCCAAACUCCUACGGGAGGCAGCAGUGGGGAAUAUUGGACAAUGGGCGCAAGCCUGAUCCAGCCAUGCCGCGUGAAUGAUGAAGGCCUUAGGGUUGUAAAGUUCUUUCACCGGAGAAGAUAAUGACGGUAUCCGGAGAAGAAGCCCCGGCUAACUUCGUGCCNGCAGCCGCGGUAAUACGAANGGNGCUAGCGUUGUUCGGAAUUACUGGGCGUAAAGCGCACGUANGCGGACAUUUAAGUCNNGGGUGAAAUCCCANAGCUCAACUCUGGAACUGCCUUUGAUACUGGGUGUC